AGAGGGAGUCACACACUGUUCAACCAAGCCAGAGGAAACCAAUCAGUUAGAGAAGCUCACAAGAGAAGAGAAAAUCCAGAUCUAAGAGGAGACGGAGAGAUUCAGGGAGGAGCUGAGCUGUUACUGAACUAUAGAAGAGAGAGGAACUUCCAUAUUCAGCAGAGUUCAAUACACAGACCAUAAACUUUCCCUUUAUUCAACAUGCUGUCAUUAGACUAUAAUCUACUGUCUCUACUGUUUGUCUCUACUCUAACAGGUGUCAGCUGUGAACAACUGACUCCAGUCAAGGAUGAAGAGUUCAGUUCAGAAGGCAGCUCUGUUACUCUGUCCUACACAUACUCCAAAAAAGCUGCUGCUGGUGAUGAGUUUUACUGGUAUCGACAACAUCCAGGAAAACAACCACAGUUUCUCAUCUCUCACACAGGGAAAGGACAAGAAAUAUCAUCAGGUCCAGUCUCUGGACUGACUGUUACUGUGAGUCGGGAUCAAACCCAAAUGGAUCUGCAGAUCUCCUCUGCUGCAGUGACAGACUCUGCUGUGUACUACUGUGCUGUGAGGCCCACAGUGACAGGAAACAGCACAACUCUGUACAAAAACACAAGCUGACUCACUGACAAGCUGCUGGAAGCCUUUUUUCCAACAAAGUGCUGAACUCAACUUUUUAGCUCCACUAGAGGGCGACAUUAUGAAGUAGGCGGUGCACUACUUGUGCUCUCUGUUCAAGCAUUGUGUCAAUAAUAACUGCUGCUGUGAAGAGAAGAAUUGUCAGACUCAGUGUUGAACAUCAGCUACUUUCUCCAGUUGCUUUAAACCUUCUUGUAGAGAUGGAACAUUGGCUGUGGAUGAUUCUUGCUGCUCUUUUCUUUGAGUGUAAAGGAGAAGACAAAGUGAUCCAGGAAACAGGAGAUGUCAUUGCUGCUGAAGGAGAGACAGUUACACUCAACUGUACAUUUGAAACAACCAGAUCAGGUCCAACUCUGUUCUGGUACAAACAAGAAGCCAAUGAUUUUCCAAAGCUUCUGCUGCAGCGCGUCUCAACAACAGCAGGUAAUCCUGCAGAAAAACAGAAAGAGAGAAUCGAUGCUGUGGCCAACGAGAAAUCAGUUCCUCUGGAGAUCCAGAAGCUUCAGCUGUCUGACUCUGCUGUGUACUACUGUGCUCUGAGGCCCACAGUGACAGGAAACAGCACAACUCUGUACAAAAACCUUUGGAGCAAAGACAACAGAAUACUCCACAACAUCCACUAGAGGGAGUCAAACACUGUCACAGUAUCUUACAGUUGCUAACUCACAUUUCUCUACACUGAGUCCAAUUUUUCAAGACUCUUCACAUAGUCAGCACA